rnacentral:rRNA from 1 species
UACGGAGGGUGCAAACGUUGCUCGGAAUCAUUGGGCGUAAAGCGCACGUAGGCGGCUCGUUAAGUUGGAUGUGAAAGCCCUGGGCUCAACCCAGGAAGUGCAUUCAAAACUGGCGAGCUUGAAUAUGGAAGAGGGUCGCGGAAUUCCCGGUGUAGAGGUGAAAUUCGUAGAUAUCCGGAGGAACACCGACGGCGUAGGCAGCGCCCUGGACGACACCUGACGCUGAGGCACGAAAGCUGGGGGAGCGAACAGG